CGCCCCGCCCCGCGCCGCCGCCCCCAACCCCUAGGCUGAGCCGGAGGGAGGGACCCAGAAGGGAGGGAGGCGGAAGGGAGGCCAAAAAGGAGGGGGCCACGUGAAAGAGGCCGGCCGACCGAGACCGAGGGAGACUGAGCGGAGCGCACGCCCUGGAAGGAGAGAGCCGGAGAGUUCGGGAGGCAAGACCCCCAGAGACGAGAGUCGGAGGGAUCAAACGACACAGAAGAGUAUAAGCCCAAGCCGUGGAGUGAACAACCCCAAAGCUACCCUACGCUGAACUCCUCUCUUUGGUCCUGCCACUACUGGUGAAACCACUGACCCUUUCUGGGCCUGUUUCCUUACCUGUCCUGAGGAGAUGCUGACCUUUGGCUCCAGAGAGACUGUGAGAACUCAGUGAGGGGGUCCUGCACUCCGAGGGUCCUGCACCCUGGGAGCCCUUAGGUCUGUUUGGAGAGAAAACAGUUCCUCCAGGCAAGAGGGGAGAAGUGUCCCCAGGAGGUUGGGGGAGGAGCAUCUGCCCUCCUCCUUCUCAGGAAUCACAGGGCCUACCUCCUAGCCCCAUCCACCAUUGCCAGUCAGCGCCUGAUGCACUGGGGGUGUCCUGGGCCACCCGGACUUCCUCUGUGAGCUCCAUGUGGGGCCUCAGUCUUUACCUCAGGUAACUAGGGCUUACCACACCUACAGCCAUGCCCCCCACCCAAGUUGAAGUCCUUUCUCCAGCUCCAGCUGCUGGUGGGGAGGCCUUCAGGCUGGCCCUCAGUCCCUGGCACCUGCCCCAGACUCGGGAGUGGGGGUGGGGGGCAGGUGGGGACUAGGAAGUGGCCCAGAUCCUUUGUCUGUAGGGCCUGGAGUGAGGACAAAGACUACCUUACUCUGGUAAGAUCCCAGUCCCAAGAGCCCACUGUCUCUCCUUCCCAGUUGUUGCAUGACUUUCUGAACUCAGAGUUACCAUUGGGACUGAAAGAAGGUGGCCUCAAUGGCCGCCAGUUGCUUCGGACUCCCUCGGAGAGUGGUGCUGUGAGCCUACAUGGUUCUUUGGAAAGGGUGGAGAGGGGCGCACUAAGAGCAACAGUAUCCCACACUGAGCAGGCCUCCUCCUGAGAGACCAAGAGACCAGGAAGCUGGCCCUGUCGCUGUUGGCCAAGCAGCCACUCUCCUGGGAGGCUGGGGCAGCCCAGUCAGGCUCCCCCUAUCAACGGGUAGACUCAGAGAACCCUCCCUAGAUGAGUGCAAUAGUAUCACUCAAUCCAACCAUCUCCUUUUUCAGAUGGGAAACUGAGGCCCAGCAAGAGGCAGCCCUGGUGCAGGGACUCCAGUGAGUAGGGCUGGUUUACUAUUGCUUCUUGUACAGAGCCAUAUCAAGCUCCUUUUUCCGGCUUCCUCCCUCACCUCCCCCAUCUUAGCAGGGCCCCUGCCCCUUCCUCACCCCCUGGCUUCUGCAUCUCCCUAAGGGCAUAGCCUAGUGGUGGUUUCUCCCCUGAGUAGGCCCAGCUAGCCUCUGUCCCAUCCCCUGUUAUUUGGGCCCUAACAGAAGCUACCCAAAUUUGAACCAUCUCUGCCCCAUGCUCAAGACCUGAGGGUCUCACAUCCUCAAAAUGGGUCCCCAGAUUCCAGAUCCAAGGAUUUGGGGAUCACACUGUUCAUCAGCUGUCACUAAACUUAUUUUACUAUGAGCCAUCCCCCUGGGGUAGCUUCUUGGUCAGCUUGUGGGGAAGGGGGUCAUUUUCAGGAUGGAGGCCUCAUCUCUAGAUUUUGGGGAGUCAAAAGAGUAGUGCAGCCCAGCCCUCACCCCAUUCCACAGGUGUGCACCCCCAGCUCCUUGGACUCUGGCCAGGACCAUUUCCUGCAGCCCCAGGCCAGCCCUGCAGCAUGAGCAGAGGGUGGCUUUGGGAAUGAGGCCCUGAGGGCUGGAAGGAGAAUGCCCAGCGCCUAGGGAACUUUGGGAGACCGCAGCUGGCUCCAGGGGCUGAGAGAGCCAGGGUCCUGCCCCCGGUCGCCCAAAACACCUCCCUUGUAGGUCUGUCCCUGAUCCCCCGGCUCUUGAUAGACACAGCCUCCCCGUCGCCCGACCCCAGGGCAAACCAGCAGAUAAACCCCUUUUAGGCGAAAAUUACACAAAAACGGCGGCGGCGGCGGGGCCUCCUCUGCUCAGGCACUGCCGCGUUGGCGGCCGAAAAAAGAGGGUCCCAGAGAAGGGGAACCCCCUCCCUGUCGAGGACACCGAGGCCCAGAGAGGGGAAGCCUCCUCCCCAGUGGGGUGCAGUCUGGGAUUGCAGUCCCCACCCCAGGGGCGCAGCUGCCAGCCCAACGCCU
rnacentral:lncRNA from 1 species